GCCGGAGUGGCGAAAUCGGUAUACGCACUAGACUCAAAAUCUAGCGAGGUUAACUCCUCAUGGGGGUUCGAUUCCCCCCUCCGGCA
rnacentral:tRNA from 1 species